GUCUACAGCCAUACCACCCUGAACAUGCCCAGUCUCAUCUGAUCUUGGAAGCUAAGCAGGAUCAUGCCUGGUUAGUAUUUGGAUGGGAGACCUUUCAUGUUCUUAACUGCUAUUCU
ensembl:rRNA 5S_rRNA 5S ribosomal RNA